rnacentral:rRNA from 1 species
AACUCUGGUAUUGAUUGGUGCUUGCAUCAUGAUUUACAUUUGAGUGAGUGGCGAACUGGUGAGUAACACGUGGGAAACCUGCCCAGAAGCGGGGGAUAACACCUGGAAACAGAUGCUAAUACCGCAUAACAACUUGGACCGCAUGGUCCGAGCUUGAAAGAUGGCUUCGGCUAUCACUUUUGGAUGGUCCCGCGGCGUAUUAGCUAGAUGGUGGGGUAACGGCUCACCAUGGCAAUGAUACGUAGCCGACCUGAGAGGGUAAUCGGCCACAUUGGGACUGAGACACGGCCCAAACUCCUACGGGAGGCAGCAGUAGGGAAUCUUCCACAAUGGACGAAAGUCUGAUGGAGCAACGCCGCGUGAGUGAAGAAGGGUUUCGGCUCGUAAAACUCUGUUGUUAAAGAAGAACAUAUCUGAGAGUAACUGUUCAGGUAUUGACGGUAUUUAACCAGAAAGCCACGGCUAACUACGUGCCAGCAGGCCGCGGUAAUACGUAGGUGGCAAGCGUUGUCCGGAUUUAUUGGGCGUAAAGCGAGCGCAGGCKGUUUUUUAAGUCUGAUGUGAAAGCCCUUCGGCUCAACCGAAGAAGUGCAUCGGAAACUGGGAAACUUGAGUGCAGAAGAGGACAGUGGAACUCCAUGUGUAGCGGUGAAAUGCGUAGAUAUAUGGAAGAACACCAGUGGCGAAAGGCGGCUGUCUGGUCUGUAACUGACGCUGAGGCUCGAAAGUAUGGGUAGCAAACAGGAUUAGAUACCCUGGUAGUCCAUACCGUAAACGAUGAAUGCUAAGUGUUGGAGGGUUUCCGCCCUUCAGUGCUGCAGCUAACGCAUUAAGCAUUCCGCCUGGGGAGUACGGCCGCAAGGCUGAAACUCAAAGGAAUUGACGGGGGCCCGCACAAGCGGUGGAGCAUGUGGUUUAAUUCGAAGCUACGCGAAGAACCUUACCAGGUCUUGACAUACUAUGCAAAUCUAAGAGAUUAGACGUUCCCUUCGGGGACAUGGAUACAGGUGGUGCAUGGUUGUCGUCAGCUCGUGUCGUGAGAUGUUGGGUUAAGUCCCGCAACGAGCGCAACCCUUAUUAUCAGUUGCCAGCAUUAAGUUGGGCACUCUGGUGAGACUGCCGGUGACAAACCGGAGGAAGGUGGGGAUGACGUCAAAUCAUCAUGCCCCUUAUGACCUGGGCUACACACGUGCUACAAUGGAUGGUACAACGAGUUGCGAACUCGCGAGAGUAAGCUAAUCUCUUAAAGCCAUUCUCAGUUCGGAUUGUAGGCUGCAACUCGCCUACAUGAAGUCGGAAUCGCUAGUAAUCGCGGAUCAGCAUGCCGCGGUGAAUACGUUCCCGGGCCUUGUACACACCGCCCGUCACACC